rnacentral:rRNA from 1 species
UUGAACGCUGGCGGCAGGCCUAACACAUGCAAGUCGAGCGGAUGAAGGGAGCUUGCUCCUGGAUUCAGCGGCGGACGGGUGAGUAAUGCCUAGGAAUCUGCCUGGCAGUGGGGGAUAACGUCCGGAAACGGGCGCUAAUACCGCAUACGUCCUGAGGGAGAAAGUGGGGGAUCUUCGGACCUCACGCUAUCAGAUGAGCCUAGGUCGGAUUAGCUAGUUGGUGGGGUAAAGGCCUACCAAGGCGACGAUCCGUAACUGGUCUGAGAGGAUGGUCAGUCACACUGGAACUGAGACACGGUCCAGACUCCUACGGGAGGCAGCAGUGGGGAAUAUUGGACAAUGGGCGAAAGCCUGAUCCAGCCAUGCCGCGUGUGUGAAGAAGGUCUUCGGAUUGUAAAGCACUUUAAGUUGGGAGGAAGGGCAGUAAGUUAAUACCUUGCUGUUUUGACGUUACCAACAGAAUAAGCACCGGCUAACUUCGUG